GACAGAGGGUGCAAACGUUGUUCAGAAUUACUGGGCGUAAAGCGAGUGUAGGCGGUUUCCUAAGUCAGGUGUGAAAGCCCCGGGCUCAACCCGGGAAGUGCACUUGAAACUGGGAGGCUAGAGUAUCGGAGAGGUUGGUGGAAUUCUCGGUGUAGAGGUGAAAUUCGUAGAUAUCGAGAGGAACACCGGUGGCGAAGGCGGCCAACUGGACGAAUACUGACGCUGAGACUCGAAAGCGUGGGGAGCAAACAGG
rnacentral:rRNA from 1 species